UUAUACAAUACCCGUAUAAACUAUUGAUGUUAUAGAUGUAUCCAUUAACUCCCAGCGGUGUGAUGAUUGCAGUGAGAACGUUACGCAGCGUUUCAAUGACCACAGGUGUGCUACACGAUAUUUAGCUUCAUCCAUCUAUAAUCACAGAAUAUGUCCAUCGCCCGUAUCCACAAACCUCGUAAGGUACUACAGAUGUGAAGUUCGAGAAGGAAUAUACACCUGCAUUGUUCCCAGUGUGAUACCAGGAAAUCUUUCCAUAGCCUUCUACAGCGCACUAAUUCUGAACUAUCACCCGAAUGCAUGUAGAUCCUAUCAAACAACGAUGCAAUCUGUGCUACAUGAUGCUAUACCACAGCACACAAGUUCGCUUGCAGAUUGUUGUGUAAAACUUUCAGCCUGUAUAAGUCCUCUUCGUGUGCUUCA